rnacentral:rRNA from 1 species
UACGAAGGGGGCUAGCGUUGCUCGGAAUCACUGGGCGUAAAGGGUGCGUAGGCGGAUUUCUGAGUCAGGGGUGAAAGCCUGAGGCUCAACCUCAGAAUUGCCUUUGAUACUGGAAGUCUUGAGACCGGAAGAGGUAAGUGGAACUGCGAGUGUAGAGGUGAAAUUCGUAGAUAUUCGCAAGAACACCAGUGGCGAAGGCGGCUUACUGGUCCGGUUCUGACGCUGAGGCACGAAAGCGUGGGGAGCAAACAGG